CUGGGAGUGUGCACGAACGCGUGGCCGAGCGUGCUCCAGGCGCAGAGCACCGUGCCCGUGCGCUGCGAGGACGGGCGCAGGUCCCCUCCUGGGCACCCCGUGGGAGCCCCGGUGGCACCCCAAAGCCCCGUCCCGGUGGUCCCGGUGGCUGUGGGAGAUGCACCGGGGCGAGCCGCUGCCCCCGGGUGCAGGCAUCACCACCUGGUGUUAAUCACCUCGUGUUAAUCACCUCGUGUUAAUCACAUGUGCUGAUUGCUGGUGCCAGUGCCGGAGCAGCGGAGCGGGGCCUGCAGCACUCGCCCUGUGCCCCUGCAGAGCCCGGGGGCUCUUCUGGGUUUUUCCAAUUUAUUUCCUUAGAAGGACUUUGCGGAACGUUUCCACUUUUUCUCGCAUGGUGAAGGGACAAGACACCCCUUAGGGAUGAGAUGAAUUUAUUAAAUAUUUGGCAGACGACAGAACAUGGCUUCCAGUUUACAGGUUCCUACCAGAGACAUUCCCAUCACUUACAGCAUCUUCUCCAACACGUGCUUGUGAAACGCUCCCGCUCCAGCCACGCACGUGGACGCGCUGGGUGCCAGGGCUGGGUCCCCAACCCCAUUGGGGAGGUGGGGGGCAGCGCUGGCCACGUCCCAGAACCACAGCCACGUCCCCAAGGCAGCAAGGACUCAGCACAGCUGGAGAUGCUCCGAACCCACACACGUGGAGGGGCUGCAGAAAUCGCCAGCGCCAGCUUCUUCCUUCUGCAGCCCCCGACAGGACUUGUGGCACGAGGGACGCGGCACACUUUCCCAUGAGAAAACAUUUGGUAAUGGCUUCCUGCUUCUUUUUUUUUUUUUUUUUUUUUCCCCUCAGAAAAGCUGCAAAGCUUGGUUUAAACCUGGAGCAGUGAGGAUUCCCACCUGGUGGUCUCCGGGGGUUUCUCUGUCUGUGUGCACGCCGCGAUGCCGGGGGGCUUCCAGCGUCCCCACGGGGGAGCCGCACACCCUGCAGGGCAGGUGCCACCCGGUGCCACCCCCUGCACGUCCCCACGGGACACGAGUGCACCCACCGAGCUGCCAAACCCAGCAGCUUGCAGAGCACGGGCUCGGGGUGGCCGCUCCCCCUGGAACCGGAGCAAUCCCCGAGGAAAAAGAGGGCGAUGCGGAGAAGGAAGUGGUUUCCAAACCACACGUUUUGUACGCUGCUCCUCGGGCGAAAACAGGCAUUGUGGGCAGUGACAGUGAGGAAAUUAAAGCACAGAAAGGGGCAGAAAUCACCUGAGAGCAAUCAGCAAAUAUCAACACCCCAUCCCCAGGGUUUGGCUGCAGCAGACCCUGUCCCCCCCCCAGGGCUCCCUGUCCGUGCCGCACCCAGCCCUGGCUUUGCUCAUGACCCUCACUGCUGCGUCCAGGCAAAAAAAUGACCAUCCAGCUGUAAAAACAACCCCCGGAUUUGAAAGGAAAGGCUCUGGGCUGGCGGUGCAGGGCCAGCACAGGACCAAGGCAGCACGUCCAGAGGCAGCAGAGCUCACCAGGUGCAGUGCUGGGUGCGCGGCCACAGCUCCACGGGGCUGAUCCCAAAACACCACGUCCUGGGUACCCCACCAGGGCCACCUCAAGCGGCUCAGGAGCAAACUUUUCCUCCAGCAAGAUGAAAAUGUCCUCAGCAGGGGAAUGGGCACACCCUGGAGCUGUAACACCAGAGGAUACAGCCUGGGGGAAUACAUUAAAGCCUGGCCUGAACCGUUCCUCCCGUGGGGUUUAAGGCGAUUAU